rnacentral:rRNA from 1 species
AACGAACGCUGGCGGCGCGUUUUAAGCAUGCAAGUCGAACGGGAUUGAGAGUGCUUGCACUUUCAUGAGAGUGGCGAACGGGUGAGUAACACGUAGUUGAUCUGCCUUUCAGUUGGGGAUAGCCUAUGGAAACAUAGGGUAAUACCGAAUACUCUCUUUACGCUUUGGCGUUUAGAGGAAAGAUCCGUUUGGAUCGCUGAGAGAUGAGACUGCGGCUGAUUAGCUUGUUGGUGGGGUAAUGGCCUACCAAGGCGACGAUCAGUAGCCGGCCUGAGAGGGUGACCGGCCACACUGGGACUGAGACACGGCCCAGACUCCUACGGGAGGCAGCAGCUAAGAAUCUUCCGCAAUGGGGGCAACCCUGACGGAGCGACGCCGCGUGUGCGAAGAAUGUCGAGAGAUUUGUAAAGCACUUUUAUGUAGGAAGAAUAAGGGCAUCAGGAAAUGGUUGUUCGAUGACGUUACUACA